AACGAACGCUGGCGGCGCGUUUUAAGCAUGCAAGUCGAGCGGCAAGGGCCUUCGGGCCCCUAGAGCGGCGGACGGGUGAGUAACACGUGGACAAUCUGCCCCCCGGCCGGGGAUAGCCCAGGGAAACCUGGAUUAAUACCGGAUGAGACGGGACGCACGAGGGUGCGAUCCGGGAAAGGCGCUGCGGCGCCGCCGGGGGAUGAGUCCGCGACCCAUUAGCUGGACGGCGGGGUAAAGGCCCACCGUGGCGACGAUGGGUAGCCGGCCUGGGAGGGUGGACGGCCACAUUGGAACUGAGACACGGUCCAGACGCCUACGGGAGGCAGCAGCUAAGAAUCUUCCGCAAUGGGCGAAAGCCUGACGGAGCGACGCCGCGUGAACGAAGAAGGCCGUGAGGUUGUAAAGUUCUUUUCGGGAGGGGGAAUGACCGUGGCAGGGAAUGGCCGCGGGAUGACGUGAAUCCCGGAAUAAGCCCCGGCUAACUACGUG
rnacentral:rRNA from 1 species